rnacentral:rRNA from 1 species
GACGAACGCUGGCGGCGUGCUUAACACAUGCAAGUCGAACGGAAAGGCCCUGCUUUUGUGGGGUGCUCGAGUGGCGAACGGGUGAGUAACACGUGAGUAACCUGCCCUUGACUUUGGGAUAACUUCAGGAAACUGGGGCUAAUACCGGAUAUGAUCUCCUGCUGCAUGGUGGUGGUUGGAAAGUUUCGGCGGUUGGGGAUGGACUCGCGGCUUAUCAGCUUGUUGGUGGGGUAGUGGCUUACCAAGGCUUUGACGGGUAGCCGGCCUGAGAGGGUGACCGGCCACAUGGGGACUGAGAUACGGCCCAGACUGCUACGGGAGGCAGCAGUGGGGAAUAUUGCACAAUGGGCGGAAGCCUGAUGCAGCAACGCCGCGUGCGGGAUGACGGCCUUCGGGUUGUAAACCGCUUUCGCCUGUGACGAAGCGUGAGUGACGGUAAUGGGUAAAGAAGCACCGGCUAACUACGUG